rnacentral:rRNA from 1 species
AUUGAACGCUGGCGGCAGGCCUAACACAUGCAAGUCGAACGAGUGGCGGACGGGUGAGUAAUGUCUGGGAAACUGCCUGAUGGAGGGGGAUAACUACUGGAAACGGUAGCUAAUACCGCAUACCAACGGAUGUGCCCAGAUUGGAUUAGCUAGUAGGUGGGGUAAAGGCUCACCUAGGCGACGAUCCCUAGCUGGUCUGAGAGGAUGACCAGACACAUUGGAAGGGAGGCGCGGUCCAGAGUCCUACGGGAGGCAGCAGUGGGGAAUGUUGCGCAAUGGGCGCAAGCCUGAUGCAGCCAUGCCGCGUGUAGGAAGAGGGCCUUCGGGUUGUAAAGUACUUUCAGCGGGGAGGCGUUACCCGUAGAGAAAGCACCGGCUAACGCCGUGCGAGCAGCCGCGGUAAUAC